UCAUACGUAACCUUAGAAUCAUCUCACGCAUUAUUGGCAUGUAAUGAUGGUAGCUGAGAGUUGUACAUUUUGAGCGAAUUCCCGGGAAAAGUGAUGGCCAUUUCGAAAAGUUCGAUCCAAAAUUUGCGAAAGCACUUUGACUAUUGCCGAAUAAAAGGGGGCCAUUUUGGAGCAUCACUUACCAUAGAACACCAUGAGGGAACAAACAGAUUAAGUAGUUGCGGUCAGCAGCUCCCUGGACCAUUUGUUGCUGUAAAUAGACGCCGAUCGACUCUGUACAAUUUUUUUUUUCUUUGCUUUAUCAUCAAAAUGUGCUACUUACCCUGCACCUCGACCUCCACUGUCACCUGCAUUGCGAUCGAACGACCAAAGAAAGAGAAAACAAGCAGCGAUAACAGCAAAACAAUUUAAUUGUUAAACGAUUAUUUAUUGAUUAUUUUCAGUCUAAUACCUGCAUUGCGAUCGUAGUAAAUGAAUGCCGCAUACAAAAUGCUUAUCGCUUUCAAAAAAAUAUUUCCAGCGUACUUCCAAAGAACAUGCAAAAUUGAGAGAGAUCUGUUUUUAAGUGAAUGAAAUAGUUGUGUGUGUGUGUUUGUUUUAUUACCACCCAAUAAAUCAUUACGAUCGCGCUAAUAG